GCCUCUGUAGUCUAGCGGUAAGAUGUCUCUGCCAUUUGGUAGCUCAAAGUUCCCAAUAUUUCUGGAGAAGUCGAGGAUUUGAAUCCCCCCGGAGGCC